UUGUAAGGUGCUAAUACCUUCCCUACACGUAACUGACUCCCGAACCCGAAAUUCAGUUUUCGUAGACCUUGCCUUACCUUUUUAUGGUUUUUUCCAUAGUUUUCCAGAAUAAACUAUGGUGGCGACUCCAAAACUUUUUUUUUUUUUAAAUAGUUUUUCUUUGGAUCGUCGUCCCGUCGCGAUUUUUCCAGUUGCGACAGAUGGCGACUCCGCUGGGGACUUCGAGAGUCAAGCCAUUUAAUUAGACGCGCGAAUUCGAUGUGGUUUUGCUUUGUGGUUUUCUUCCUUUUUUCUUUAUCUAUGCUUGAUAUUCGGAAUAACUGCAAUAAUUGUUGAAUAUUGAACCUUAGGCUAGAAAACAUGUGAUAUCUGCCUGGGAAAAUUUUCUGGUUGUUUUGCAGGUGAGGAUUUGGGUGCAUUGCAUUCUCCCUUCACACACACACUUUGUGCAUCUAUUGAGUGGGGCCCUAUACCCGGGUCUGAGCGUAACUUAGAAUUAGAGGAGUUGUGUAGCGGUGUCACUCUGGGAUGUACUUCCUGUUUGGCUAUCGUGAGAACUCCAGCUAGAGUCUGUUCUCUUCAUUUGUGUCUCCGCACCUAGUUGAUUACUUGACUGUUGUGGAGAUACUAUGAAGGGGGCCAUAGCUCUAGUGACCAUCGACCUCUAGGUUCAAGAGACUAUCCUUGUGAGGUUGCAUAUAUUUGACCCCCAAUCUGAAGUGUCGAACCUUUAUUUAGGGCACAAAGGGAGAUGUGUGCAGCCUUGUAAUCCUCACUUUUGUCUAAUAAAAUUUAACACAUUCUACAUGUCAUCUUUUUCUUUGUUUUUCCUUUCUUUCUUCCUUUUUCUUAUGCGUUUUAUUGUCUU
rnacentral:lncRNA from 1 species